CCUUCGGGUUAGCGGCGAACGGGUGAGUAACACGUGGGCAACCUGCCCCGAGCUCUGGGAUAACUCCGGGAAACCGGGGCUAAUACCGGAUAUGACACCGACCGACAUCUGUCGGUGUGGAAAGAUUUAUCGGCUCGGGAUGGGCCCGCGGCCUAUCAGCUUGUUGGUGGGGUAACGGCCUACCAAGGCGACGACGGGUAGCCGGCCUGCGAGGGCGACCGGCCACACUGGGACUGAGACACGGCCCAG
rnacentral:rRNA from 1 species